AUUGAACGCUGGCGGCAUGCCUUACACAUGCAAGUCGAACGGUAACGCGGGGCAACCUGGCGACGAGUGGCGAACGGGUGAGUAAUAUAUCGGAACGUGCCCAGAGGUGGGGGAUAGCCCGGCGAAAGCCGGAUUAAUACCGCAUACGACCUACGGGUGAAAGCGGGGGAUCGCAAGACCUCGCGCCAUUGGAGCGGCCGAUGCCGGAUUAGCUAGUUGGUGAGGUAAAGGCUCACCAAGGCGACGAUCCGUAGCUGGUCUGAGAGGACGACCAGCCACACUGGAACUGAGACACGGUCCAGACUCCUACGGGAGGCAG
rnacentral:rRNA from 1 species